GGGUGGUAAUACUGAAUGUUCCACAUGAUCGCAUGUGAUUGUGGGAAAGCUUUUUUGCGGUAUGGGAUGGGGUCGCGUCCUAUCAGCUUGACGGUGGGGUGAUGGCCUACCGUGGCUUUGACGGGUAGCCGGCCUGAGAGGGCGACCGGCCACAUUGGGACUGAGAUACGGCCCAGACUCCUACGGGAGGCAGCAGUGGGGAAUAUUGCACAAUGGGCGCAAGCCUGAUGCAGCGACGCCGCGUGAGGGAUGGAGGCCUUCGGGUUGUAAACCUCUUUUACAAGGGAGCAAGGCUUUUUAAGUUGAGUGUACUUUGUGAAUAAGCACCGGCUAACUACGUGCCAGCAGCCGCGGUAAUACGUAGGGUGCAAGCGUUAUCCGGAUUUAUUGGGCGUAAAGAGCUCGUAGGCGGUUCGUCGCGUCUGGUGUGAAAGCCCAUCGCUUAACGGUGGGUUUGCGCCGGGUACGGGCGGGCUGGAGUGCGGUAGGGGAGACUGGAAUUCCCGGUGUAACGGUGGA
rnacentral:rRNA from 1 species